rnacentral:rRNA from 1 species
CGGACGGGUGAGUAACGCGUGAGAAUUCGCCUUUAGGCGGGGAAUAACUAUAGGAAACCAUAGCUAAUGCCCCAUAUGCUCGCAAGAGUGAAAGGAGCAAUCCACCCAAAGAGAAGCUCGCGGCUGAUUAGCUAGUUGGUAAGGUAAUGGCUUACCAAGGCGACGAUCAGUAGCUGGUUUGAGAGAACGAUCAGCCACACUGGAACUGAGACACGGUCCAGACUCCUACGGGAGGCAGCAGUGGGGAAUUUUCCGCAAUGGGCGAAAGCCUGACGGAGCAAUACCGCGUGAGGGAUGACGGCCUUGGGGUUGUAAACCUCUUUUAUCAAGGAGGAAGUUCUGACGUGUACUUGAUGAAUAAGCAUCGGCUAACUCCGUGCCAGCAGCCGCGGUAAGACGGAGGAUGCAAGUGUUGUCCGGAAUCACUGGGCGUAAAGCGUCUGUAGGUGGUUUAAAAAGUCUGCUGUUAAAAGUUGAAGCUUAACUUCAAAGAUGCCGUAGAAACUUUUAAACUUGAGGAUGGUAGGGGUAGAGGGAAUUUCCAGUGGAGCGGUGAAAUGCGUAGAUCUUGGAAAGACCACCAAUGGCGAAGGCACUCUACUGGGCCAUUACUGACACUGAGAGACGAAAGCUAGGGGAGCAAAUGGGAUUAGAUACCCCAGUAGUC